CAAUAGCGUAUAUUAAAGUUGUUGCAGUUAAAAAGCUCGUAGUUGGAUUUGUGGUGUUCCCUGUGGUCCGAUUUCGGUACUUUCGGGGAUUGCCAUCCUUGGGUGGAUCCUGUGUGGCAUUAGGUUGUCGCGCAGGGGAUGCCCAUCGUUUACUGUGAAAAAAUUAGAGUGUUCAAAGCAGGCUUACGCCGUUGAAUAUAUUAGCAUGGAAUAAUGAGAUAGGACCUUGGUACUAUUUUGUUGGUUUGCGCACCGAGGUAAUGAUUAAUAGGGACAGUUGUGGGUAUUCGUAUUCCAUUGUCAGAGGUGAAAUUCUUGGAUUUCUGGAAGACGAACUAAUGCGAAAGCAUUUACCAAGGAUGUUUUCAUUAAUCAAGAACGAAAGUUAGGGGAUCGAAGAUGAUUAGAUACCAUCGUAGUCUUAACCAUAAACUAUGCCGACAAGGGAUUGGUGGGGUUUCGUUACGUCUCCAUCAGC
rnacentral:rRNA from 1 species